UACGGAGGGUGCAAGCGUUAAUCGGAAUUACUGGGCGUAAAGCGUGCGCAGGCGGUUUGUUAAGUCCGUUGUGAAAGCCCCGAGCUCAACUUGGGAAUUGCAGUGGAUACUGGCAGGCUGGAGUACGGUAGAGGAAGGUGGAAUUCCCGGUGUAGCAGUGAAAUGCGUAGAUAUCGGGAGGAACACCAGUGGCGAAGGCGGCCUUCUGGACCAGUACUGACGCUCAUGCACGAAAGCUUGGGGAGCAAACAGG
rnacentral:rRNA from 1 species